AUUGAACGCUGGCGGCAGGCUUAACACAUGCAAGUCGAGCGGAGCGAGGGUGCUUGCACCUUAGCUUAGCGGCGGACGGGUGAGUAAUGCUUAGGAAUCUGCCUAUUAGUGGGGGACAACAUUCCGAAAGGAAUGCUAAUACCGCAUACGCCCUACGGGGGAAAGCAGGGGAUCUUCGGACCUUGCGCUAAUAGAUGAGCUUAAGUCGGAUUAGCUAGUCGGUGGGGUAAAGGCCUACCAAGGCGACGAUCUGUAGCGGGUCUGAGAGGAUGACCCGCCACACUGGGACUGAGACACGGCCCAGACUCCUACGGGAGGCAGCAGUGGGGAAUAUUGGACAAUGGGCGGAAGCCUGAUCCAGCCAUGCCGCGUGUGUGAAGAAGGCCUUUUGGUUGUAAAGCACUUUAAGCGAGGAGGAGGCUACUUAGAUUAAUACUCUGGGAUAGUGGACGUUACUCGCAGAAUAAGCACCGGCUAACUCUGUGCCAGCAGCCGCCGUAA
rnacentral:rRNA from 1 species